rnacentral:rRNA from 1 species
GAUGAACGCUGGCGGCGUGCCUAAUACAUGCAAGUCGAGCGAACAGACGAGGAGCUUGCUCCUCUGACGUUAGCGGCGGACGGGUGAGUAACACGUGGAUAACCUACCUAUAAGACUUGGAUAACGUCGGGAAACCGGAGUUAAUACCGGAUAAUAUAUUGAACCGCAUGGUUCAAUAGUGAAAGACGGUUUUGCUGUCACUUAUAGAUGGAUCCGCGCCGCAUUAGCUAGUUGGCAAGCUAACGGCUUACCAAGGCGACGAUGCGUAGCCGACCUGGGAGGGUGGUCGGCCACAGUGGAACUGAGACACGGUCCAGACUCCUACGGGAGGCAGCAGUAGGGAAUCUUCCGCAAUGGGCGAAAGCGUGACGGAGCAACGCGGCGUGAGUGAUGAAGGUCUUCGGAUCGUAAAACUCUGUUAUUAGGGAAGAACAAAUGUGUAAGUAACUAUGCACGUCUUGACGGUACCUAAACAGAAAGCAACGGCUAACUACGUG